rnacentral:rRNA from 1 species
CCUACGGGAGGCAGCAGUGAGGAAUAUUGGUCAAUGGGCGCAAGCCUGAACCAGCCAAGUCGCGUGAGGGAAGACGGCCCUACGGGUUGUAAACCUCUUUUGCCGGGGAGCAAGCCUGAGCACGUGUGCCCAGGUGGAGAGUACCCGGAGAAAAAGCAUCGGCUAACUCCGUGCCAGCAGCCGCGGUAAUACGGAGGAUGCGAGCGUUAUCCGGAUUUAUUGGGUUUAAAGGGGGCGCAGGCGGGCUGUUAAGUCGGCGGUAAAAAUUCAGGGCUCAACCCUGUCGAGCCGUCGGAACUGGCAGCCUUGAGUGGGCGAGAGGUAUGCGGAAUGCGUGGUGUAGCGGUGAAAUGCAUAGAUAUCACGCAGAACGCCGAUUGCGAAGGCAGCAUACCGGCGCCCGACUGACGCUGAGGCACGAAGGCGUGGGGAUCGAACAGGAUUAGAUACCCUUGUAGUC